rnacentral:rRNA from 1 species
CGCCAGCAGCCGCGGUAAUACGUAGGUGGCGAGCGUUGUCCGGAAUUACUGGGUGUAAAGGGCGUGUAGGCGGGAAGGCAAGUCAGAUGUGAAAUACCCAGGCUUAACCUGGGGGGUGCAUCUGAAACUGUUUUUCUUGAGUACUGGAGAGGAAAGUGGAAUUCCUAGUGUAGCGGUGAAAUGCGUAGAUAUUAGGAGGAACACCAGUGGCGAAGGCGGCUUUCUGGACAGAAACUGACGCUGAGGCGCGAAAGCGUGGGGAGCAAACAGGAUUAGAUACCCUGGUAGUCCACGCUGUAAACGAUGGAUACUAGGUGUAGGAGGUAUCGACCCCUUCUGUGCCGCAGUUAACACAAUAAGUAUCCCACCUGGGGAGUACGACCGCAAGGUUGAAACUCAAAGGAAUUGACGGGGGCCCGCACAAGU